rnacentral:rRNA from 1 species
UACAGAGACGUCGAGCGUUGUUCGGAUUCAUUGGGCGUAAAGGGUGCGUAGGCGGGAUGGCAAGUCGGUCGUGAAAUCCCUCGGCUCAACCGAGGAACGUCGAUCGAUACUGCUGUUCUUGAGGAUUGCAGAGGAGACUGGAAUUCCCGGUGUAGCGGUGAAAUGUGUAGAGAUCGGGAGGAACACCGGUGGCGAAGGCGGGUCUCUGGGCAAUUCCUGACGCUGAGGCGCGAAAGCGUGGGGAGCAAACGGG